GUCCACGCCGUAAACGAUGGAUACUAGCUGUUGGGGCAACCUCAGUGGUUAAGCGAAAGUGAUAAGUAUCCCACCUGGGGAGUACGAACGCAAGUUUGAAACUCAAAGGAAUUGACGGGGCCCGCACAAGCGGUGGAGCAUGUGGUUUAAUUCGAUGAUACGCGAGGAACCUUACCAAGGCUUAAAUGUAGAUUGACCGGUUUGGAAACAGACUUUUCGCAAGACAAUUUACAAGGUGCUGCAUGGUUGUCGU
rnacentral:rRNA from 1 species